GGGGGGGUGCGCGCUCCCCCCCGCCCCCCGCAUUCCCAACCCCUUUUCCCGUUGAUGUCACGCGCGCAAGCCCGGGCGCGCCCUCGCGCGUGUGGUGGGAAAGGGGGGCGUGGCCGGCGGCGCCCCCCGCUCUGCCGCCAUAUAGGGAAUGGAAUGCGGGGGCGGGGCCGCCGCCGCAGCCUGAACCCGGUCACCUCUGCCGGGAAAGCCGGAGGGGUGGGGCGAGCCGCGCCUCGCGGACGGGAAGUACGGUACGCGCCGCCGUGGGAGACCUGCGCUCCUGCUUCAGAGGCGGGCCGCAGCAGGCGAAGCCCUUUCCAUCCGCCCCUGCAUCAGGAGCCCAGAUGCAUGCCUAUAACAAGCUCUUGAGCUACACGAGUGAGGCGCGCUCCAAGAUCUGGGCAGAAAUUUUUAAAUUCACUAAAGAAAUAUCAGAAGAAAGCAGGUGGAAGAGCUCACGGAUCCACCUCUUUCGACUGUCUCCCCUCAUCAAGAGUAUCUUUUUCAUAUUGAGUCUGUGUAUAUUAACAGAUACACAGAAUGCUGGUGAAUCUUUUCAGUUUCUGGGCUGGGGAGCAGCCAAGGAAGCAAGAGGCAUCUUUUUUCUUGUCAUGCCACCACAGGCACCAAAUAUGCUCCACUUUAGGCUCCACCUGCACCAGCAUAGCACUUGAACAACUUGCAAAUUUUCAUCUGAGGCUGAACUUUUGUCCUGCCAGAUUUGCCCCAAGUUCCCUCCACUUUCUGAAACCAAGUGGGAAGAUAUGUUAACUCCAAAGAAGAAAAUUAGGAAGUGUUAAAGCCAUAUCUAAGCUAUUUUAAUUGCUAGUUAGUUUUUCUUUCAGUGGAUGUUCUCAAGGGAAGACCUUACUGAGCUGAGCAUUUCUUGCCGCUUGUUUCCAUCUCACUGUUUUGGGAAGUUUCUAUUCCAGAGCUACACAGAGAGGAAGGAAUGGCUGCAAAACAGCAAGCUUAACUUGGCUAACUUCCUGCAUGUAAUAAAAGGCUAUUCUGUGAGCUGCUUGGAAAAGCACCCUUGGCCACCACGCAGUGAAAUUCCUUCCUAAUAAUCUUUUCAGAGCAUUAGGCCAGUUGCAGUCAGUUUUGCUCAUUAAGGUAAAGUAUAAAAGGCUUGAGCAUUCCACCAGUUGCACUGAUCUAAAAGGAAGGUCACAUACAGCUGCACAGUUGUCUUUGUGUGAAACACACCAAGGUCUAAAUGUAGAAAAAUGAUGGCAGGCGACAUAAUGCUAGCCAACAUAAGUCAACCCAGUGGUUAAAUCUUAUCAGGAAAGAUGAGACUUGGCAUUCCUGCAUUGAAGCUGAGCAAGCAUCUGGAUUCAUGCACUGCAUAAAAUAUUUCUAAACUCUCAGAUGGUAGGGGGUCAAAGGCAGAGAAGGAGACUUGGGAAUGGAGGCUGGAGGGUUCUUGGAGCUAAAGCUAUAAGGGAAAAAAGGCAAGAAAAAUUGAGGAGACAGGACUAAAAUAAUCAAAACAAGAAACAAUGAUAGGUCUACUGAAACAACUGGAUUUACAAUGCUGAACCAAAUCUUUUUAAACCUGUUUCUGUGUGCCUUUUUAGAUAACAAGGGGUUUCAUUUCUUGGAAGAAUGUAGUAGACUCAGAAGGCUAUAUGUUUUAGAGAUAACAAAUGUAUUCUAACAUUGUGUGAAAGCUUGAAAACACUGUUGUAUGUGAAGGUAGUGAAUAUCACUGUACUUUGUAAUACAGUGAAACUGGGAAUUUAAAUGCAGAAAAAGCAGACAGAAGUGAUGAGUGUUGAUAAAAUUACCAUCUUAAGAUUGGUUGGUGAAGAAAAUAGUGUAGUUGGUCACUGUCUUCAGUUUUACGAUGUUUUCAUAAAACAGUUUCUUUCAUUAUGUUCAGAGGCUAUUUUUAAUUUAAAGCCUAAAAAAAGAACUUUUGCCUUUUGCUAGCCUUUUAAAUCAAAUACUCUAGGAUAAAUAUUGCCAGCUCUUUAGACUUUCUCUGUUGAAGUGGAAAUAAACUGGCAGCACCGAAUGAGCCCUUUCAAAGUGCAGCUUUUUAUUUUGAUUAAAUUCCUUGUUGAUUCUAAAACUGGACUCAGAGACUAGAAUCUAAAAGCAUUUAGGAAAAUUUACUUAAAAUACUAAGCAUACUUUGCCAGUUUUCUAGAACAGUUAAAAGAAACAAAUGUCUGCAACUGGGCUAAAUCCUCUUGACAUUAAUUUCUGUGUCCUCUGCCUUUCUGUGGCUCAAUACUUAAUGUAUGAAGUCAUUCUCAGAUGGACUGAAGGGGAAGGCAUUGUUUGUACCAUAGUCCCAGAGCUGUGUGAAUUAAUGCUGCUCUGUAUUUCCUUAAGGACUGAGCACAUUCAGUUUACAUUUAUUGAGAAUAGAUCCUGGGAAUGAAUUAUUUCUUCCUUAUAAGGAGCCUUGUGUUGAGAUAUCUGUUGGGGCAGUUUAGCUCACUACUAAGUCACUAGGGAUAAAAGCAUCACUGUUACAAGUAAAAUGAUAAUGUGCAAGAAACUUCUUAAAAUUAAAUGUAUUCCAGUCAUUUAGAUGGUUCAGAAUAUUGAGGUCUUGGAAGACUAGAGGAAUAAGAGUGUCUCACCUUUCUUCAGAUUUAGCAUUUGCAUAAAGUCAAAAGGAGAAAGUCUUGUCUCAGAGGGAGCUCUAGAUUUAGUAUCUCGCUGGGUUUGUUGUGACCUUAUUUAGAUCUGAGUUGCAAAAUUUAUGAAUACUCAAAGUAAAAGCAGUAUAUUACCCUCACAAGUCUUUGUAAAUGUUAUUUUUAAAGUAUUAUCUUUUCCUAAUAUCAAAAUAAAAGAAUUUUAUUAAAAUAUUGGAUAUUAAAACAUCCUUCAUUUAUUCUCUCUUGUUAGUCCAAAUACAUACACUUAAUUGUGACUAAGUGAUUUUAAAAAAAAUGUUACUCAAAACUUCAUCUUCAGACAUUCUCCACCAAAAAUGGGAUAGGCUGGUCUAGAAGUUAUCAGGUGCAAAAUGCCAUUGUUUGGUCUACCAGCAUGUGUAGGAAUACAAAUAUACAGAAAGUGAAAUGGGCUGGUGGUUUAAAAGGGAACAUUAGGGC
ensembl:lncRNA